rnacentral:rRNA from 1 species
CCUACGGGGGGCAGCAGUGAGGAAUAUUGGUCAAUGGGCGCUAGCCUGAACCAGCCAAGUAGCGUGAAGGAUGACUGCCCUCUGGGUUGUAAACUUCUUUUAUAUGGGAAUAACGUGCAGUAUGUAUACUGCUUUGCAUGUACCUUAUGAGUAAGGCUCGGCUAACUCCGUGCCAGCAGCCGCGGUAAUACGGAGGAUCCGAGCGUUAUCCGGAUUUAUUGGGUUUAAAGGGCGCGUAGGCGGGUUGUUAAGUCAGUUGUGAAAGUUUGCGGCUCAACCGUUAAAUUGCAGUUGAUACUGGCAGCCUUGAGUACAGUAGAGGUAGGCGGAAUUCGUGGUGUAGCGGUGAAAUGCUUAGAUAUCACGAAGAACUCCGAUUGCGAAGGCAGCCUGCUGGACUGUAACUGACGCUGAUGCUCGAAAGUGUGGGUAUCAAACAGGAUUAGAUACCCGAGUAGUC